ensembl:snRNA U1 U1 spliceosomal RNA
AUGCUUUCCUGACAGGGAGAUACCGUGAUCAUGGAGGUGGUUUUCCCAGGGUGAGGCUUGUCCAUUGCACUCCAGAUGUGCUGAUCUCUGCAAUCUCCCCAAAUGUGGGGCACUUGACCGCACAAUUUGUGGUAGUAAGGGCUGCAUUCAUGCUCUCCCCUA